rnacentral:rRNA from 1 species
AUUGAACGCCGGCGGCAGGCCUAACACAUGCAAGUCGGACGGUAGCACAGAGAGCUUGCUCUCGGGUGACGAGUGGCGGACGGGUGAGUAAUGUCUGGGGAUCUGCCCGAUAGAGGGGGAUAACCACUGGAAACGGUGGCUAAUACCGCAUAACGUCGCAAGACCAAAGAGGGGGACCUUCGGGCCUCUCACUAUCGGAUGAACCCAGAUGGGAUUAGCUAGUAGGCGGGGUAACGGCCCACCUAGGCGACGAUCCCUAGCUGGUCUGGGAGGAUGACCAGCCACACUGGAACUGAGACACGGUCCAGACUCCUACGGGAGGCAGCAGUGGGGAAUAUUGCACAAUGGGCGCAAGCCUGAUGCAGCCAUGCCGCGUGUAUGAAGAAGGCCUUCGGGUUGUAAAGUACUUUCAGCGGGGAGGAAGGCGAUAAGGUUAAUAACCUUGUCGAUUGACGUUACCCGCAGAAGAAGCACCGGCUAACUCCGUGCCAGCCGCCGCCGUAA